GAAGGAACCUCUCUCAUAGUGUUCCAUGCUAGAGUAAACUGUGGCUUUUAACCAUUGCCUAGCCUCUGUGCUUAUAGACUGUGGGCACUGAAGCAGGUCACAUAGUU